rnacentral:rRNA from 1 species
AGUGAACGCUGGCGGUAGGCCUAACACAUGCAAGUCGAACGGCAGCACAGUAAGAGCUUGCUCUUACGGGUGGCGAGUGGCGGACGGGUGAGGAAUACAUCGGAAUCUACUUUUUCGUGGGGGCUAACGUAGGGAAACUUACGCUAAUUCCGCAUACGACCUACGGGUGAAAGCAGGGGAUCUUCGGACCUUGCGCGAUUGAAUGAGCCGAUGUCGGAUUAGCUAGUUGGCGGGGUAAAGGCCCACCAAGGCGACGAUCCGUAGCUGGUCUGAGAGGAUGAUCAGCCACACUGGAACUGAGACACGGUCCAGACUCCUACGGGAGGCAGCAGUGGGGAAUAUUGGACAAUGGGCGCAAGCCUGAUCCAGCCAUACCGCGUGGGUGAAGAAGGCCUUCGGGUUGUAAAGCCCUUUUGUUGGGAAAGAAAAGCAGCAGGUUAAUACCCCGCUGUUCUGACGGUACCCAAAGAAUAAGCACCGGCUAACUUCGUG